rnacentral:rRNA from 1 species
GAUUAACGCUGGCGGCGUGCAUAACACAUGCAAGUCGAACGAUGAAACUUUAAUGAACCCUUCGGGGAGAAUUAAAGCGGAUUAGUGGCGAACGGGUGAGUAACGCGUGAGUAACCUGCCUUACACAAGGGGAUAGCCUUUGGAAACGAAGAAUAAUACCCUAUAAAACCAUAAAAGCACAUGCAAUUAUGGUCAAAGUGAUAGCGGUGUAAGAUGGACUUGCGUCUGGUUAGCUAGUUGGUGAGAUAAAAGCCCACCAAGGCAACGAUCAGUAGCCGGCUUGAGAGAGUGUACGGCCACAUUGGGACUGAGACACGGCCCAGACUCCUACGGGAGGCAGCAGUGGGGAAUUUUGCACAAUGGGGGAAACCCUGAUGCAGCGACGCCGCGUGAUUUAGAAGGCCUUCGGGUUGUAAAAAUCUUUUGUAUAGGAAGAAAAUGACAGUACUAUACGAAUAAGGUCCGGCUAAUUACGUG